UACGUAGGGUGCGAGCGUUGUCCGGAAUUACUGGGCGUAAAGAGCUCGUAGGUGGUUUGUCGCGUUGUUCGUGAAAACUCACAACUCAAUUGUGGGCGUGCGGGCGAUACGGGCAGACUGGAGUACUGCAGGGGAGACUGGAAUUCCUGGUGUAGCGGUGGAAUGCGCAGAUAUCGGGAGGAACACCAGUGGCGAAGGCGACUUCUUGGCCUGUUCUUGACGCUGAGGCGCGAAAGCUGGGGGAGCAAACGGG
rnacentral:rRNA from 1 species